rnacentral:misc_RNA from 1 species
UUUCCGUAGGUGAACCUGCGGAAGGAUCAUUAUUGUAUAACCGAGGUUCGUGCACUGUCGCUGACCCGAAAGGUCGCGCACUCCCGAGUGCCCUCACACACCUCCGUCUCACCCCUCUCUGGACCCCCGCGUGGCUCCCCCCUUGCCUUAUUCGGUGGGGGGCUUAUGUUUUCACACAUACUUUGUAUCAAGUGAAGACUGUAUUUUUUGUUUUUGUUAUUUCCCACUCAAUAGAACUUUCAACAACGGAUCUAUUGGCCACCUCAUCAAUGAAGAACC